AACGAACGCUGGCGGCAUGCCUAACACAUGCAAGUCGAACGAGACCUUCGGGGCUAGUGGCGCACGGGUGCGUAACGCGUGGGAACCUGCCCUUAGGUUCGGAAUAACGCCCCGAAAGGGGUGCUAAUACCGGAUAAUGUCUUCGGACCAAAGAUUUGUCGCCUUUGGAUGGGCCCGCGUUGGAUUAGCUAGUUGGUAGGGUAAAAGCCUACCAAGGCGACGAUCCAUAGCUGGUCUGAGAGGAUGAUCAGCCACACUGGGACUGAGACACGGCCCAGACUCCUACGGGAGGCAGCAGUGGGGAAUAUUGGACAAUGGGGGAAAGCCUGAUGCAGCAAUGCCGCGUGAGUGAUGAAGGCCUUAGGGUUGUAAAGCUCUUUUACCCGGGAUGAUAAUGACAGUACCGGGAGAAUAAGCGCCGGCUAACUCCGUG
rnacentral:rRNA from 1 species